rnacentral:misc_RNA from 1 species
UUAAGUUCAGCGGGUAUUCCUACCUGAUCCGAGGUCAAACUCUAAAGUUGGGGUUUAACGGCGUGGUCGAGCCGCGUUCCGGUGCGAGGUGUGCUACUACGCAAGGGAAGCUGCAGCGGGACCGCCACUGAAUUUGGGGGCGCAGCCGGGCGAGCCGGCUGCCUGCCCCAACACCGCAGCCCAGAGGGGCGCGAGGGUUG